rnacentral:rRNA from 1 species
UACGUAGGGUGCAAGCGUUAAUCGGAAUUACUGGGCGUAAAGCGUGCGCAGGCGGUUUUGUAAGACUGUCGUGAAAUCCCCGGGCUUAACCUGGGAAUGGCGAUGGUGACUGCAUCGCUGGAGUGCGGCAGAGGGGGAUGGAAUUCCGCGUGUAGCAGUGAAAUGCGUAGAUAUGCGGAGGAACACCGAUGGCGAAGGCAAUCCCCUGGGCCUGCACUGACGCUCAUGCACGAAAGCGUGGGGAGCAAACAGG